CCCCAGAAUCAUUGAUUGCAAGAGAGGCAGCGAAACAAUUAACUGUGGCGUGUACUGACGUUGGUAAAGAUCUGACCCAUCUGUUUCUUCAUAUGGCUGAUGUAGAUCUACAUCUACAUCUGACCCGUGAUGUCAAUACAAAUCAAUGCACUGGAGCUACCUGUUGUAUUAAGCAAUCCUCCAACUGUCUGAAAAUCCCAAGAAACGUUGCCAUGAGGAAGACUGAGAAGCACAGCAGAUGAACCUUUGAUCACUGAAGAUCCAGGUUUAAAUCCUAGCUCGUGAGUGAUGCAAAGAGUUUGGUUCUCCCGUCCUAUUCCUUAGUGUAGAUAUGAUCCUGUCACUAAACAAGGCUAUGGUCUAGGAACAUUUGGACCUCUGUGUGUGUGUGUGUGUGUGAGGGGGAGGUAAGAGAGAGAGAGAGAGAGAGAGAGAACAUUUCUCACUUCAGUGUCCCCCCUGACACAGAUGUGGCCAUAAAUAGAGAUUUGGGAUCCCACAGACUGACAAAUCAACUGCUAUUCUCAGACAAGCUACCAUGUCACGGAAAUGAUCUCUAACAGAAUCCAGACUUGAGACGAAGUUGGUGCUGAGAGCAGGAGUUCCUUCUUCAGCUCAGUGAAGCUGAAGAAAAGCAGCUGAGUUCUUUGCUGAGCAUGGUAAAUCAGAGCAAAUGAGACAUAUCUGAAGCAGGAGGCCAGAAAAAGGACAAAUGGUAUUUUUGCCAAGCGUCACGCUGCAACAAAGGAACAGCGAUGUAGCAGUUUAGCUUCCCAAAACAACUUUAUUCACAUAGUGACAAACAGCCUGUAGUGAUGAAAACAUGCAGGCAAUCUUACUGAGAUUAAACCACAUAGAUGGGUGACCUUGUUAUAAAAUCCAGGGAGAUGUUCAUAGCAGGGCCCUAAAGACCAGUCCUUGCAGAGCAGGCAAGACCCUUAGCUUCUACAUUACAGGUUCCAAUUCCUUUAAAUGAGGAAUGGUCAACAGCUGCUAGCCCUUCCCAUGGGACUGAGUGUCCAUGAUACAGCCCGUCUCACAGACUGCUGGGCCCUUGCAUGGGUGUAUUUCCUCCACUGAAAAUGGGGAGGCCUUAUCCUGGGGAUGCAAAUCUCUUUAAAACACAGCAGUGCAUGGGAAGCUGAACAAGCAGGUUUUCAUGGCAAGAACUACCUAGCUGAGCUACCUGCCGGUGUCUAAGAGAAAACAGGGAGAGUGAACGUAAUGAAAAGGUGACUGUGGAAGCAAAUGUACUUGGCAGAAGCAGUAGCAACUUGAGAGGGACGCCUCCGUAGGGUGGAACUGAAACAACGAAUGUGGCUAAACAUCCCAGCAAAACGUGAUGUUGAAUAGCAAAUUCUCUAUAACGGAAUCCAGUGUGGUGAAAGGUGGAGGUUUAAUGACAUUGUCCCUGUACACACAUGGCCUAGGUGCAUAAGCCUAAAAUAAUACAUUGGUGCCCAUCACUCUGUGCUUAUGGGAUUUUUUUAACCAUGCAUGCAUCAGGUACUCAGUUUUAUGCUUUCUUUGAAGGAAGGUGCCUCAGGUAUUGUACUGUGGAAUCCAGGCGGAGUGAUGAUUCCGUACAAACACUGAGGGAAGGAUAGCGUGAAAUGAGCUCUUCUUGCAGUGACCAUGUAGGAGUACAGCUGUUCAGGGCCUUUAUCUUGCAGGUCUCCUCUGACUAUCAAGGAACGUUGAUCCUGUCGGAGUGAGUUUGAUAUCUGAUGAUAUCUAACAGCUAUUUCUGUGGCCCUCGUUACCAUAUAUCUGAGUACCUCACAAUCUUCUAAUGUAAUUUAUCCUCAACAGCCCUAUAAUGAAGGGAAGUCCUACUGUCCCCAUUUUACAGAUGAGGAACUGACGGUCAGAGAAAUUAAGUGACUUGCCCAGGGUCAUGCAGGAAGUCUGUGGCAGAGCAUGAAAUUGACCCUGGGUCUCCUGAGACUCAUGUUAGCUCCCUAACCACUGUCAUACCCUUCCUCCUCAGUCUGAGCAGCUCAACUUAGUAUGAUUUCCAAACUCAGUCUUUAAUGUUAUACUAAGCUAGAGCUAAACUUCUAGUGAGAGGUUUCGAUAUGGAGUGUAAA